AUUGAACGCUGGCGGCAGGCUUAACACAUGCAAGUCGAGCGGGGUGAGGUGCUUCGGUACUGAUCCUAGCGGCGGACGGGUGAGUAAUGCUUAGGAAUCUGCCAUUUAGUGGGGGACAACAUUCCGAAAGGAAUGCUAAUACCGCAUACGUCCUACGGGAGAAAGCAGGGGAUCUUCGGACCUUGCGCUAAAUGAUGAGCCUGAGUCGGAUUAGCUAGUUGGUGGGGUAAAGGCCUACCAAGGCGACGAUCUGUAGCGGGUCUGAGAGGAUGGUCCGCCAGACUGGGACUGAGACACGGCCCAGACUCCUACGGGAGGCAGCAGUGGGGAAGAUUGGACAAUGGGCGGAAGCCUGAUCCAGCCAUGCCGCGUGUGUGAAGAAGGCCCUUUGGUUGUAAAGCACUUUAAGCGAGGAGGAGGCUACCUGGAUUAAUACUCUGGGAUAGUGGACGUUACUCGCAGAAUGAGCACCGGCUAACUCUGUGCCAGCAGCCGCCGUAACAC
rnacentral:rRNA from 1 species